rnacentral:rRNA from 1 species
UACGUAGGGUGCAAGCGUUAAUCGGAAUUACUGGGCGUAAAGCGUGCGCAGGCGGUUUUGUAAGUCUGUCGUGAAAUCCCCGGGCUCAACCUGGGAAUUGCGAUGGAGACUGCAAGGCUAGAAUCUGGCAGAGGGGGGUAGAAUUCCACGUGUAGCAGUGAAAUGCGUAGAGAUAGUGGGAGGAACACCGAUGGCGAAGGCAGCCCCCUGGG